CAAAUGAAUUGACGGGGGCCCGCACAAGCGGUGGAGCAUGUGGUUUAAUUAGAAGCAACGCGAAGAACCUUCCCUGGCCUUGACAUGCUGAGAACUUUCCAGAGAUGGAUUGGUGCCUUCGGGAACUCAGACACAGGUGCUGCAUGGCUGUCGUCAGCUCGCGUCCUGAGAUGUUGGGUUAAGUCCCGUAUCGAGCGCAACCCUUGUCCCUUAGUUACCAGCACGUUAUGGUGGGCACUCUAAGGAGACUGCCGGUGCCAAACCGGAGGAAGGUGGGGAUGACGUCAAGUCAUCAUGGCCCUUACGGCCAUGGGUCUACACACGUGCUACAAUGGUCGGUACAAAGGGUUGCCAAGCCGCGAGGUGGAGCUAAUCUCCAUAAAACCGAUCGUAGUCCGGAUCCGCAGUCUGCAACUCGCACUGCGUGAAGCUCGGAAUCGCUAGUAAUCGUGAAUCAGAAUGUCACGGUGAAUACGUUCCCCGGCCCUCGUACACACCGC
rnacentral:rRNA from 1 species